rnacentral:lncRNA from 1 species
AGAAACGGGUUUUCACCAUAUCGCCCAGGCUGGUCUCAAACUCCUGAGUUCAACAGAUCCAUCCACCUUGGCCUCCCAAAGUGCUGGGAUUACAGGAGAAGGAUGACAUAAAAAUCUUCAGGAUGAAUGCUCUAACAGAAAGGUGGGCACGUGCCUAAAUGACUCACACAAAGAAGGCUAUGAGGAGCCUUGAGCAUUUGAGAUGGAGUGAGGCCAUGUGGAAGGGGCUGUGGAAGGUUCCAUCUAACAACUUGCUAGGCAGGUUGGGGCAGGAGGAAGUGCUCUGUGAGAGGGGCCUGGGAGAGAAUCAGGAGAACAGGGUACAACAGCUGGUGAGAGUUUUGCUUCUGAUAUAGACAAUGCCUGGAGAGCAAACCAUUACAGCUAAGAGAGAUCUUUAAGUGAAAGAAAAGGAGAAGGCUCCAUUUCAGCUUAUUAGGAACAGAUGACAAUGCAUUGCCAGGCCUUCAAUACAAAAGGUAUUAGACUCAAGAUUCUACAAGAUUCUGUUUGUGCCAGACACUGAUCAGCAGUGCAAAUAUAAAAUGAAUACAAACAGAUCACGCAUCAGAAUGCCAAUCACUUCCUAGUAACACUGAUCAAAAUUUGCAUUAAAUCAACAGAUCUUUCUUUUAAGAGGUGUGUGGCAACAGUAAAGCUUUCUACAUGUUAAACAGAAUGAACAAAACCAACGCAGAGCAGUGACUUCCUGUCAGAGCAGAA